GAAAUUGAGAAGUAUUAAAGAUAACCUGAGGGAAAUUAGAGCUCUGAGCCCAAACACUGCCGUCUUGGCCGACGAUUGCGGCGGAGGAGAGGUGGUUGCCUUCAAUUUCGCAGAGAAGGUGGUCAUCGACGUAGGUUUGCCACGACGGCAAGCGUAGAGACGACGGCAAGCGGUGAUCCGACGGCGAACUGCUCCAAGCCACGAACAGAGAAGCCAGCGAGGAUGGGGACGACGUGCCGAGCUACCUGGGUUCCGGACAGGGGAAGAGGAAGAAGCGGAAGCG